rnacentral:rRNA from 1 species
CGAACGGGUGAGUAACGCGUGAGGAACCUGCCUCAAAGAGGGGGACAACAGUUGGAAACGACUGCUAAUACCGCAUAAGCCCACGGGUCGGCAUCGACCAGAGGGAAAAGGAGCAAUCCGCUUUGAGAUGGCCUCGCGUCCGAUUAGCUAGUUGGUGAGGUAAUGGCCCACCAAGGCAACGAUCGGUAGCCGGACUGAGAGGUUGAACGGCCACAUUGGGACUGAGACACGGCCCAGACUCCUACGGGAGGCAGCAUG